GUCAAGUAAAUGAUUGUCACCUUAGCAAAAUCGGAACGAUACAGAGAAGAUUAGCAUGGCCCCUGUGCAAGGAUGACACGCUCUAAUCGAGAUUUGGUCCAAAUUUUU